AAGCAAUAAAUGACCGAUCCAGGGGAGGGAUUAAUUACGGUAGUGACAACGCUUUCUGCCUUGCUGAGCCAACUCCUCUCGAGAAGGUGGGGCCGCGGAGGGAAGGUGAUGGGAGGUAGGAGGCAGGCGCAGCCUACGUCCUGGGGAGCCAACCAGCCAUGGAAUACGUAAAGGCAGAGACUAGAGGUCACCAGCUCUAGGCCUGGGCUGCGCCUGAUCUUGGUUGGAGUCACAGACUACGCAGAAGGAGACCGAGGCUGGGGGAAGGGCGGUCACCUGCCCAGCGUCACACUGGAGCCCAAGCCUCUGUCCUCCGUCUUCUGCUGUUUCGCGCUCCCCACUAAACCCUUUGGCCCGGGAGCGCCACCUGCGUCCGCUCUAAUAGGGAUGCUGCCGGCAGCUAGUGUUUUCUCCGCGGGAGGCGUCGCUGGCCAGCUCCUCCUUGGAGCUUGAAAAGAAGCUGUUGAGGAGGAGGAAAGGAAUGUUUGAUGAGCUGUCACUGCUUGUUUGUGUUAUCUCACCCAAUCCCCACACCUACCAACAAUGUGGCUGUUAUUAUCCUCAUUGCAGAUGAGAAGGGCCUCUCGAGGCUGCCAGGGGCUGACACACUCAUGCCAUGCACUGCACCAAGGAGCCGGAUUGUCUCACUCAGUUGUUCAACUACCUGAUGCCAUAGGGCUGGGGAGUUUGUCAGCCAGAAAGAGGAAGAGCAUCCCCAAGAGCGGAACAGUUUUGGGUCCCAGGCGCACGUGCUGUGUUCCAGGGAUCACACGAGUACACAGACAUCAUCAAAGGCUGCACAGAGCCAGGAUUAGAGGACAGUCUUGGUUUGCCUUUCUCAGGUCCAAACAGUACAUCUGGAGUAUUAGCAGCUGUCUUAGGUAUGCCAAUUUACAAGCUCCCCUCCCUCUAACUUGGGGUGGGGCCAGACCCUGAUGGCCAAGGGGUGAGGAGCGGCCCUCUUUGUAGAGAAGGCAGGAGGAAACUGUGCUGUUUGUCCAGAAGGAGAGAGUGGAGCCACUGAGCUCAACCAUGGCAUCAGGGGGAAGAGCAGUGGCCUUGUGCUGGGUGACCCGGAGCCCAGAAACAAGACGUGAGGGUGGAAGCCACAAGGAGGCCUUUAGGCUCAACAGAAGGAAGAGCGUUUUAACUUUGAGAAAUGCCCUGCCUGGAAACGGCACCAGCUUCCUCUUUCAGCACCGAGUUCCCUGGCUGGGAGGUGGCCCAGCUGAGCGGAGGAAUAGGGGAAAACUAGAGACAUUUGAACUGGAAGAUCUCCGCGGGCCCUUUGAAGUCUGAGAUUGCACAUCCGUGCAGCCUUCAGCGCAGCCGUUACUCCAGAAGUGGUCUGUUUAUUUAGGGAGGUGACCGGCUGGAGCUUUCGCAACAGACUGGCUUUCCCCUCGGUGUUUCCUUUGCCUAUCAGCAAGCGGUUUACGUUCCCAGGGCAAACAGGAAGGCGACAGCGCCGAGCAAAGCCAGCAGGUUGGCGAGGUUGCCGUAGGGGCAGCAGGUGUCACCUCGUGAGUGCACCGCGGGGAGGGCUGAGCCCUUGGGGCCUUACAGACGCUGCGGGUUAACGGGGCGGGCGAGGCAGGUGGCCCUCGGGGGCGAGGCGGGGCUCCUGGGGCCAAACCCUACCCAGGCAGGGGAGAGAAGAGGGAUAUCCAGCCCACGCCGCCGGCCACAUGAGAGCACCAAGAGAACACCAAGUCUUUAUUACAGGAAUUCCUAUGAAACAGCUCCAAGAAAAAACCCACACAUAGGAAGAAAAAAAAAAAAAACUAACAAA